CAGGAAGAGUAAGCAGAAUCCAGAUACAGCAUAAGAGUCCAGGAUUUGGAAGACGUACAUUCCACCUUGCGAAAUACAUGAGAGUCCAAUGAGAUAAGAUAAAGCACAGACUAUCGCAAUAAACACUUCUUUACGUCGACUGAUGAACCCUUCCAUAGUACAAAAUUGCGAAUCCAGACCAAUUAAAAGUAACAUAAAGAAGAAAAGACAGGACCAGAGAGGUGCACCUGGUAAUUGAAGGACUGCAGAAGGGUAUGCAAGAAAAGCUAAUCCUGGUCCUGAAGCAGCAACUUCGGCUACAGGUUUUUGUUGUUCAUGAGCCAUGAAGCCAACAACCGAAAAGAUGACAAAGCCAGCAAACAUGCUGGUCGAUGAAUUUACCGAGCAAACGAUCAGGGCAUCCUUGUAAACGUUGUUGGUAAAUUUGUUGUAGCUACCAAGAGCAACCAAUGUUCCAAGACCGAGUCCAUAGGAAAAGAAAAUUUGUAUUUGGACUGAUGUAAAAUCUUAUACCCUCCAUUGCACCAGGCAAAGUAAUCCCACGAAUUAAUAAAAUCGAUCUGUGAGUUCAUUGAUGGUGACAUUCAUUUGAUUAACAGAACACAUCUUAAUUACAUUGUGAUUCCUUGUCAUUUGAUCCCAACAAAGUAACGAACUUCUAUCAUAAGGAUUUACGCAAUAUUUUGUAUUCCAGUAAUUAUUACAGCUACCCCAAGGACAUCACAGCAGCGGCAUAACCGAUGCCUUUAAAAAGUGGAGCAAUUUUAAAAACACCUAAACCGCCGACUGUUAACAUUUGACCGAGAGCUAAUUCCAUAAAGAACAUUGGUAUACCAGCUAGUACCAAUGUUAAGAAAUAUGGGAUCAAGAAAGCACCACCUCCAUUUUUAUAACAGAGAUGAAGUAUUAAAAAUAAAGGUAGCGGAGAAAAGUAUACGGAUGUCCUUACCAGUAUCGGAACAUUUCCGAUGAAACGAAAUAAUGAUAAAGUAGGCGAGCAAGACUAGGAAGCUGGUAUAUCCGGAGGGUCCACGUGACACCGAUCUAUCCCUGCAUCCGUUCUCGGUACAGUCCAUCGUAUAGAUUGGUAACGCUUGAUACUGUAUAAACAUAUUUCAAAGUUAUACAAAAAUAUUUGAUAUGGUACAUUUUUUUUGUAUUUUCUUUUCUCUAAUUUCAAUAAUAGUUCAGAAAGAAAAAAGUGAGAAAAAUGAUAUGUACAAAUUCUUAUGUCUUUACCAAGAUUUGUUGAUCUAUAACAAUUGAAUUUUUCAAAGUAAUUGUCUUUUAAUAACAUUGAAAUAUAUGUGAAAUUUUUAUUUGA